AUAAGAUUUCCAUGAGGGACGUCAAAGACGAUGACGUAGAUAGGUCGCAGGUGUAAAGGCAGCAAUGCCAAAGCCGAGCGAAACUAAUCUCCCGAAACUUUGCA
rnacentral:rRNA from 1 species